rnacentral:rRNA from 1 species
UACGGGGGGGGCAAGCGUUGUUCGGAAUUACUGGGCGUAAAGGGUUUGUAGGUGGCUUGUUAAGUCAGACGUGAAAUCCCUCAGCUUAACUGGGGAACUGCGUCUGAUACUGGCGAGCUUGAGUGCAGGAGAGGAACGCGGAAUUCCAGGUGUAGCGGUGAAAUGCGUAGAUAUCUGGAGGAAUACCGGUGGCGAAGGCGGCAUCCUGGACCAUUACUGACGCUGAGGCGCGAAAGCUAGGGGAGCAAACGGG